GCAACGAGCUGCAAGCGGACGCCGCCGCAGCCAGACGCGCCGCAUGGUCGCAGUGGCGCAACCGGGCGCCGGCCGCCGCCAUCGCUAUUGGCUCUCCCUCCCCGCCGGCAGGUGAAAUCGCGAGCCUCGACGACGCCGGGCCGGAGCAUUGUGCGGAGGAAAUCACGGCUAAGUCAAAAAGAAAGACACAGACACUUCUUUCAUUUUACAAGAAGAUUGAAGGUGCAGUUGGGGAUCUACAAGUACAAGGGCAAGAUGAUUUGGCUGAUCAGGAUCAGAACCCUCAAUCUAAUGAAAAUGUUGUACUUGAAGAUGAGGCUCCAAGCAGGCAACGACAGAGCGUGCAUUUUCAGCAAUGAAACUUCUCAAGACAAGACUUCGCAACAAAAUAGAAGAUGAAUUUCUAAGGAAUUGCAUGUUAAUCUAUAUUGAGAGGGAGAUUGCUAUUAAGUUCACGACAGAUUCAAUUAUUGAUGAUCUCUAUGCGAAGAAGAACCGCAAAGUUCGACUAAAAUGAAAUCGUUUGUUUUCACUAGCCCACCCUUUUGUAAAGUGUAGCUACCUUUUGUAAUAUGGUUCCUGGCUGCAUGAAUGAACAAUGAAAAUUUGGUGUCAACUGUCAAGUACACCUAAUCAUUGUAUUCUCCAUAUCCAAUGAAUAUAUGUUGACUUACCGUG